rnacentral:rRNA from 1 species
UACGGAAUGUGCAAACGUUAUUCGGAAUCACUGGGCUUAAAGAGUUCGUAGGCGGCGCAGCACGUGGGGUGUGAAAGCCCUCGGCUCAACCGAGGAAUUGCGCUCCAAACUACUGUGCUUGAGGAAGCUAGAGGUGAGCAGAACUGAUGGUGGAGCGGUGAAAUGCGUUGAUAUCAUCAGGAAUACCGGAGGCGAAGGCGGCUCACUGGGGCUUUUCUGACGCUGAGGAACGAAAGCCAGGGUAGCGAACGGG